UCAGAACGAACGCUGGCGGCAGGCUUAACACAUGCAAGUCGAGCGCCCCGCAAGGGGAGCGGCAGACGGGUGAGUAACGCGUGGGAAUCUACCCUUUUCUACGGAAUAACGCAUGGAAACGUGUGCUAAUACCGUAUGAGCCCUUCGGGGGAAAGAUUUAUCGGGAAAGGAUGAGCCCGCGUUGGAUUAGCUAGUUGGUGGGGUAAAGGCCUACCAAGGCGACGAUCCAUAGCUGGUCUGAGAGGAUGAUCAGCCACAUUGGGACUGAGACACGGCCCAAACUCCUACGGGAGGCAGCAGUGGGGAAUAUUGGACAAUGGGCGCAAGCCUGAUCCAGCCAUGCCGCGUGAGUGAUGAAGGCCCUAGGGUUGUAAAGCUCUUUCACCGGUGAAGAUAAUGA
rnacentral:rRNA from 1 species